UAGAAGAUUAGCUACAAAGAUAGAGGUGACUAAUAAUAAUGACUGGUAAUUUUUAGAAAGGCUAUCAUUAUAUCCAUUUUGUGUCACUGUUUUUAUAAAAUUCAGGAAAUGGUGGAACUGUUUUUCCUGACUUGUUUCAGAACCAGACAUCUAAAGCAUAUCAUUGACAUUUUAUUUCAUUAUUUUUAUUUUUUUCUUUUUCUCAUUGGCUGUGACUCUAGCCAAUGAAACGUUUUAUAUAAUCGUUAAGUUCUUUACACUAUCAAUUUAUAAUUAUGAAACCAUGAGUGUGAUAUACAACAAAGUAUAUUAUCUUACAGAUAAAGAACUAUAUGCUUGGAUGAAGUGUGUGAAGGGACAGCCUCAUGAUCACAAACAUUUAAUGCCAACCCAAAUUAUACCUGGUUCUGUUUUGACAGAUCUUCUAGAUGCCAUGCACACUCUUAGGGAAAAAUAUGGUAUUAAAUCCCAUUGUCAUUGUACUAACAAACAGAAUUUACAAGUUGGAAAUUUUCCUACAAUGAAUGGUGUAUCUCAAGUGAGUAAAAAUCUCUGGUUAUUCAAAUAAAAUCUGUGAUUAAAUUAGUCAACUUUGAUAUUUAUUUGAAAUUUGGUAUAGGACUUAUGUAUGAAUUAGGUUUGCUGUGUUUCUGUGUAAAUUUUUUGUAUCUAUACUACUAAUUGAAUAAUUGAAGAAAGUGUUUAAAAAUGUAAUUGUUCUACCUUUGUAGGUUUUACAGAAUGUUCUUAAUCACAGUAAUAAAAUUUCUCUG
rnacentral:sRNA from 1 species